ACGCGUGACAACCUGCCUUUCACAGGGGGAUAACGGAUCGAAAGAUUCACUAAUACCGCAUGAGACCACGGGGGUGCAUACCCCAGGGGUCAAAGGAGGAAUCCGGUGGAAGAUGGGCUCGCGUCCGAUUAGAUAGUUGGUGGGGUAACGGCCUACCAAGUCAACGAUCGGUAGCCGACCUGAGAGGGUGAUCGGCCACACUGGAACUGAGAGACGGUCCAGACUCCUACGGGAGGCAGCAGUGGGGAAUAUUGGGCAAUGGGGGGAACCGUGACCCAGCAACGCCGCGUGAGGGAAGAAGGUUUUCGGAUUGUAAACCUCUGUCCUUGGUGAAGAGAGGAAGACGGUAGCCAAGGAAUAAGCCCCGGCUAACUACGUGCCAGCAGCCGCGGUAAUACGUAGGGGGCGAGCGUUACCCGGAAUUACUGGGCGUAAAGGGUGCGUAGGCGGCCUUGCAAGUCCGGUGUUAAAAGCCCUGGCUCAACUAGGGAGAUGCGCUGGAAACUGUAAGGCUUGGGUGCAGCAGAGGCAGAUGGAACUGCUGGUGUAGGGGUGAAAUCCGUAGAUAUCAGCAGGAACGCCGGUGGAGAAGUCGGUCUGCUGGGCUGUGACCGACGCUGAGGCACGAAAGCUAGGGGAGCGAACCGGAUUAGAUACCCGGGUAGUCCUAGCCGUAAACGAUGCUCACUUGGUGUGGGGGCAUAGAGCCUCUGUGCUGAAGCGAACGCGUUAAGUGAGCCGCCUGGGGAGUAUGCCCGCAAGGGUGAAACUCAAAGGAAUUGACGGGGGCCCGCACAAGCAGUGGAGCGUGUGGUUUAAUUGGAAGCUAAGCCAAGAACCUUACCAGGGUUUGACAUGCUGGUGGUACGGACUCGAAAGAGGAAGGACCUUAUCGAAAGAUGAGGAGCCAGCACAGGUGGUGCACGGUCGUCGUCAGCUCGUGCCGUGAGGUGUUGGGUUAAGUCCCGCAACGAGCGCAACCCCUACUCUUAGUUACCAGCACGAAAGGUGGGGACUCUAAGAGGACCGCCGGCGACGAGCCGGAGGAAGGAGGGGAUGACGUCAGAUACUCGUGCCCCUUAUGCUCUGGGCGACACACGCGCUACAAUGGGAUGGACAACGGGAAGCCAGGUAGCGAUACUGAGCAAAACCCUAAAACCAUUCCGCAGUUCAGAUUGUGGGCUGAAACCCGCCCACAUGAAGCUGGAAUUGCUAGUAAUCGCGGAUCAGCCACGCCGCGGUGAAUACGUUCCCGGGCCUUGUACACACCGCCCGUC
rnacentral:rRNA from 1 species